rnacentral:rRNA from 1 species
GAUGAACGCUAGCGGCGUGCCUAAUACAUGCAAGUCGAGCGAACUGAUUAGAAGCUUGCUUCUAUGACGUUAGCGGCGGACGGGUGAGUAACACGUGGGCAACCUGCCUGUAAGACUGGGAUAACUUCGGGAAACCGAAGCUAAUACCGGAUAGGAUCUUCUCCUUCAUGGGAGAUGAUUGAAAGAUGGUUUCGGCUAUCACUUACAGAUGGGCCCGCGGUGCAUUAGCUAGUUGGUGAGGUAACGGCUCACCAAGGCAACGAUGCAUAGCCGACCUGAGAGGGUGAUCGGCCACACGGGGACUGAGACACGGCCCAGACUCCUACGGGAGGCAGCAGUAGGGAAUCUUCCGCAAUGGACGAAAGUCUGACGGAGCAACGCCGCGUGAGUGAUGAAGGCUUUCGGGUCGUAAAACUCUGUUGUUAGGGAAGAACAAGUACAAGAGUAACUGCUUGUACCUUGACGGUACCUAACCAGAAAGCCACGGCUAACUACGUGCCAGCCGCCGCCGUAAUAC